UGUAGGAGCCGGCUUGCUGGCGAUGGCAUCACUGCGGUAUUUCAUAUAAACCGCGGUGAUGCCAUCGCCAGCAAGCCGGCUCCUACA
rnacentral:misc_RNA from 1 species